UUCAAAGAAUACAAGAGUACAGAGGGAUCAGUUACCAAGAGUCAAUACACCUUUCUAUGUAGCUUUCCAAGAUGACAGAGGCGGAGUAUUUGCAAAUCUCCAAGUAUUUGCCAUUAUAGCAGGUGGGUAUCUGUCACCCUUUGCUGCAUUAGCUGAAGCAAUUGAUUCAAGCUCUUUCAUUUCUUCCGGUGUCAACUUCACCGAUAAGGCCUUGAUGUUGCUCUCCAGGUUCUCAAUCUUGGUGGUGCCAGGAAUGGGACAGACGUCGUCCCCUUGAUGAUGAACCCAUGCUAAGGCCAAUUGGGAUGGAGUACAACCCUUUCUUGUUGCCAACUGAGCAACCUGCUCGAACAGCUUGUUAUUGUGCUCAACAUUCUCCUCCUGAAACCUUGGGAUCCUCUACAAAUGCAGCAAACAUUUGCUGUAAAACAUUAAAAUCAUAUAGACUGAUUGUACCCAUGCACCUGUGCUUUGCUUUUCAAAAUCUAGCCCAAAAGCAUCACUUACUAAGAAGGCACUUGUAAAUUUUACCAAGAGAGUACAUUCUCACCUCCGACCAGAGAAUUAAAUAAAAAAAAAAAGAAGAAGAUGAUGCCAUGAAAUCUUUUGUACUACUUACUUUCUAAAUAUCACUCCAGGCACAUACAUGCCAAGGUAAAAGCAACAAGGGAGUGCAAGAAAGUGUAAUAUGGGGAUUGGACUAAUAUGUUAGUACAAUCUCAGGGAGUUGUCACAUGGUCAAAAAGCUAGAGUAACAGCAAAUGUUCAAUGACAUUUCUGAAAUUAAUCUGCAGUUACCAUAAGUUCAAACCAAAUAGACUCAAGUUUUUAAGCGAGAAAAUGAGAUUUAAAAUGCAGAGGAUACUGUUUUACUAUCUGCUUAACCAUAGUGGAUACUUAUUCACUAUGAGAUUCACGAAGUAUACUGAGGUACAGUGCUCGUUCCAGAUCUUUGCUUUAAGAUUAAAAAAAAAAUGAUGUGGUGCUUUUGCCUGUUUCUAAAAGAUGCCCUGUCAGAUAUGGUGGCAGGGAAAGACAGCAGAGAGCAUAUGAAAAGGAAAAUAAAACAAUGUCGCCAGUAACUGCUUAAAAAAAUGGAAAUGUGACCAGUGACCAAACAGGAUAACAGGUAGGUUUUUCAUAGCAACAACUGGCUACAUUUCACUUCUGAAACAUAGACUUCAGAGAAAGUUCAAGUAACAUAGCAAAGUCACAUGAGCCAAACACAGGAAACUAUAGUCAAGAGAACUUAGUCAAAAACAAGAUAAUAGGAAGAUUUUUCUUACUAACGAACAACUGCUUCCAUUUCAGUUCUGAAACAUGGACUUCAGAGCAAGUUGAAGUAACAUACAAAGUUAAUUGAGAACCAAAAACAAAGGAAGAUAUACGCAAGAAAACUUUUGUAUAUUUUCUAGUAAAUCUAAGGAAACCAUGAAUUCAACGUAUUACGAAUUCUGGAAAACACCCCAUGGGCUGCAAGGAGGGGUCAACAAUGGACUCAGAUUACUAGAUGUAAUCUGCGAUCGGAGUAAAAUUUCACAUUGCACAAGCCUUGAGCACAUACCUUACGGAAGUCAUUACUAGUCAAGUUCUCCGUCAACUUCGCACCAGAUGCAAAGAAUCCUCUGCCCAGAGGACUGAACGAUACAAUUCCUAUGCCUAGUUCCCUAUAAUUAAAAAUCAUCCUGAAUUAGUAAGCUGAGGGGGCAAUACAAGCUCCCAACUAUGGAAGAUUAUUAUGUGGAGCAUAUCUUUUGGAUGACUUACCUGCAUGUGGGAAUAACCACUUCCUCAGCAUCUCUUGUCCACAAGGACCAUUCUAGUUGCACAGCUGUUAUGGGAUGAACAGCAUGAGCCCUCCUGAUUGUUUCCGGAGAGGCCUCAGAUAGACCUAUGUAUCUUACUUUACCCUCUUCAACCAGUUGCUUCAGAGCUCCAACCUAGAAGUUGCAGGUUAUAGAAGGAUUUCAAUUCACAAAUCUGUCUAAUGUGCAAAUCUAUUUGUAAUUUCACAACAAAUACAAAAGCACAAGCGAAAAGGCUUGGGGACAUCCAUCAACUUCCGGUGAAUACUUAAAAAAGCAGAGGACUACUAGCGCCUAACUAAGCUAUAAAACAUACACGAGUGAUAUUGCAAAGACAUGAAUAAAAUUAAGAGAAAAAGAGGGGGGGGGGCAUGAACAUAUUCUACUGUAGAAUUAACCUGUUCUACUUGCAUAGAUUAGAAACGAUGGAAUUCAAUCUUGGAAAAUUCAAUUCACUUCACAAUAAUGCAAGUUUAUCCAAUUAGAUUCUCAAAAUCAAAUAGGAAUCUACAGAUUACAUAAAUAAUACUGCAAAACUUAAAAACUCAUUCUACACCAUAAUGAAUUGUUCUGAUCCCUCAGUAAUGCUUGAGAAUCUGAAUGAAUUAAUCCAAGAAAGACCAAUAAGAUCUUUAAAAAGAAAAAGAACUAAAAAACAGACUGAUAAGUAUCAAGGGAAAAGUAAUACAAACCAUGAUUUCAAUAGGAACGCUUUAAUUAAUUUAAUAGUUCUGAAAACAAUAGUUCAAUGUAAUCCAAACAAUGCUUAGCUGCUGUUUACUUGCAUAGGCUUCAAAUAAGGAAAUAGAUUUUCCCUUUUUUUUUGUGUUGUUUGUUGUGUUUGGGGGGGAGGUGGGGGGAAUCAUUGCACAGUAAUGCAAAUUUAUCUAACUCUGUCAGCUCGAAUUGACCAAAUGUCAGCUCAUUGAACUCACAUUCAGUAAAUCCUAGGACCCUAUGGACUAAAACACACACACACCCACUCACCCACCCACACACACACAACCCCCCUCUCUCUCUUUUGUAGAAUAUUUUUACAUUUCAUAAUAAUUUUGGGAACUUCUCCUCAUUCUAGAGCUCAAACACGGAACCAUGGUUAGCAUCAAUGAUAGCAAAACUUGCACAAACUGCUAUAUGACAAAUUGCUCUGAUUGAUUAUUACUAGAACUCGAACUGAAUUAAUUAAUCCAAAAGAGAUUGAUGGAAAUAGAAGACCACGAAAACAAACCGUGAUUUCAAUAGGAAUCGUUCUGUCAAUCCGAUGAACAAAAUAGAGAUCAAUAUAAUCAACAUCUAGCCUCUUCAAACUGGCCGCACAAGCUUCCCUCACAUAGUCUGGAUGGCCACAUGCUACAUGUUCUCCAGUUGGCAAAAUUCUUGACGCAAAUUUCGUUGCAAUUUGAACUUUCUCCCUUUCCACCCCCUUCAAUGCCUACAUCCACAACACUCAGAUUAAAUUACCAAAAAGCAAAAUCCCCCAAUAAAAAAAGGGAGAAAUUUCCAACCACAUCUCAGCUGAGUUAGUAUAGGCAUAAAAAAAAUCCAAAAACAAUAUAAAAAUCUUUACAAACAAAAAUCCAUCAAUAAAUCGAAAAAACAAAAAAGAAACAGAAAUUGCAUUUGGUCAUCAUUAUACUUUCUUGAACCCAGAAAAAAAAAAAAAAAGAAGAGGAAGAGAAGUUGGUUUUGGCCAUUUUGGCUUAUGAGGUGUGACUUUACCUUUCCAAUGAGGAUUUCAUUAGUAUGGGGGCCAUAGACAUCAGAGGUGUCCAGAUGAGUGAUACCACUAUUGAUGGCAUGGUGGAUCAGCUUGAUCAUAUCUGGCUCAGGUUUUGGAGGGCCAUAGCUAAAAGACAUUCCCAUGCAACCUAAGCCUUGGGCUGACACCUCUAGGCCUUGUGAUCCCAGCUUGAUUCUCCUCACUCCUGCCGCCAUUUUUGUCUUUAUUGAGCUCUGUUACUAAAUUUUUUCCAAAACCCUGCUGGCUUUUCUCCUCUACUGUUCAGUUAAGUAUAGAAAGUAGAAAGUAGGGAGCGUCAAAUAGAGAAUUGGAUGGUAUGAUGACGUAGUCAGUGAGCUCAUCUAGUGGACAAAUUGCAGACAAGAUCCGGCACGGAUCCGACUAUCCGACUAUGGUGCAGAUGUCUGCACCAAAUGAAAAGCUGCCUUCCAGCAGCUUAGGACACACUUGUUGGGAACAGUGGCGGUUCAGCUGGGCACCGGUAAAGCGGUGUAAGUUUGAAGUGACGUCUCCAGAGUGCAGCCCUAGUCCACUAGGAGUUGAGGACAUUUUUUUAAGUGGAGUGUAGUUGUUUGUGAAUUACUUGUAAAAUUCACCAUAGAGUGUAGUUGUCGAUAAAAAAAAAAUAUAAAUAGUAAUAAAAUAUUAUACUUACAUUGUUGUAAAUAUGUAUAAAUAAUUUAUUUAGAAUUAUAAAAUAUUUAAAAAAUAUUAUAUCAUUUUAGAACGAUUGAUCUGACAAUUAUUCCUGUCUCACCUCGUGCAGUUGAGGCACGGAUUGUUGUUGCAGGCAGCAAUUAAUCAUAUGAAAAAGUUGACCGCCAUUUGAUAAAAAAUGAAAAUGUAGGGUUCAUAUGAUAUUUUAUAUAUCGAUUUUAACAUUACGAGUGAAAAUUGCAAAAUUUAUUUUAUUUUUAUAAAAUUUUAAACGUGAGUUACAUCUUGAAUAAAUUCAAAUAAAUUGCACGUGGAAUCGAAUAAAACUGACAUAAAUAAUUUUUUCUGACAACAGCGCCUCUUGUCCGGCGUGAGGAGCGUGGAAUGGGGCCGGAGUGCCGGACAAAUUGUAAAAUAAGAUCCGGCAAAAAGUGGGCACGUGAUGCUAUAUAUAAAUUAAUCACCAGAAUCGGAUUUCUUUCAUGGCCCUUCAAUCUCCUUAUUUUUUUUUUUCACUCUUAAUUGUGCUGUCACUAACUGACUAACACACACAACUAGCCGGAAAAAUCAAUUAGAUUUUUUUUUAAAAAAAAAUUCCAGCAAGAGAUGAGUGAAAUUUAAAAAACAAAAAGGAAAUCGAGUGAUCAGAAUCCAAAAAACCUCUGAACCAAAGUCUCAUAGACUAAUUUAUUAGUUAUUUAAUUAAGAGUACUUGAGAUAAUAUCAAGUUGAACAUCCUUUACAAUUAUUCCACCUAGUAUAAUAUACAAUCAAUUACAUGUAUAUAGAUGGAAAGGAAAAGCAACAGAAACUUGAAUUACCUCCUUUAGUUUUCUUUCCUCCACCUUUCUUCCUAUGGUUUCUCACUCACAUUUUCACUUAAUUAUUUUUUUUUGGUAACCCAAAACACGCACUCACAUUUUCACUUUAUUAUUAUUUUUUUUGGUGAUGACGCACCCAAGUUAGAUAGGAAGAUUCAAGUUUGGGAAAAGUUUCGAACCCAAAACCUCAUUUAGUCCAAGAGCACGCUAGAGUAACACUGGGGACUUAUUUUUUUUCGUCUUAGUCAUCUAAAAGGCAGAAUAUUACUGUAAAAGAAUGGGCGAAAUGGUAGAAUUGGGCGGGCAUCAAUUCAAUCCUAGUGAUUUCAAGCAUAUUAUAAUCACAGAAACUGUUGUGCAAACCCUGAAAACUUUUGUGGUUAUUUUGCAGGGAUUCAUAUGGUCGAUUUCCCAGCACGGAUUCACUGUACUCAUUAUCUGUUUACAUUUGUUACUUUCAGUGUAAUCACAUAACCAGAUUACAAAGCUUCAUGUAAACUUAUAUAACGUGAGCUUCGAAGAAAACAAGAGUACAGAGGAAUGCAGCUGGGCAUCUGUCGCCCUUUGCUGCAGUAGCUGAAGCAGUUGAUUCAAGCUUAGCCAUUUCUUCCAGUGUCAACUUCACUGAUAAGGCCUUGAUGUUGCUCUCCAGGUUCUCAAUCUUGGUGGUGCCAGGAAUGGGACAGACGUCGUCCCCUUG
rnacentral:lncRNA from 1 species